rnacentral:tRNA from 1 species
UGUUGGGGUCUGGUAGNUUCAGGCUGGGUUAGAGGGCUCGCCCUGAUAAGCGGGAGGUCGGGUGGUUCCAAGUCCACUCAGACCCCAC